UGGGGAAUUUUGGACAAUGGGCGCAAGCCUGAUCCAGCCGUGCCGCGUGCGGGAAGAAGGCCUUCGGGUUGUAAACCGCUUUUGUCAGGGAAGAAAAGGUUCUGGCUAAUACCUGGGACUCAUGACGGUACCUGAAGAAUAAGCACCGGCUAACUACGUGCCAGCAGCCGCGGUAAUACGUAGGGUGCAAGCGUUAAUCGGAAUUACUGGGCGUAAAGCGUGCGCAGGCGGUUAUGCAAGACAGAGGUGAAAUCCCCGGGCUCAACCUGGGAACUGCCUUUGUGACUGCAUGGCUAGAGUACGGUAGAGGGGGAUGGAAUUCCGACGUGUAGCAGUGAAAUGCGUAGAUAUGCGGAGGAACACCGAUGGCGAAGGCAAUCCCCUGGACCUGUACUGACGCUCAUGCACGAAAGCGUGGGGGAGCGAAACAGGAUUAGAUACCCUGGUAGUCCACGCCCUAAACGAUGUCAACUGGUUGUUGGGAGGGUUUCUC
rnacentral:rRNA from 1 species